CCCCGAGUUAUGCCGUCGAGUAAGCAGAUAGAAAAUUAACCAGGACCAUUUGACCUAAAGUUAGGGAGAUUGUGCCUUGAGCGCAUACAACCAACAAAUAACUUGAGUACGUAUAGCCAAAGCAAUAAGAUAGUUUGGACACAGUCUGAAGAUUGUGCUUGACAAGCAAAACAUGUGUACAUCAUAGGGCCUGCUCUUUAAGCUGGGUCAACUAAUAUGUGCCUUAUUUCUUACUGGCCCUGCUAGAUGCAUCCCCGACGGUCCAUUUCGCCUAUUUCACAUGAACAUAAGCCAUUAAGGACGACCUUGUCUUUGCUCGCGUCGCCGUGCAGCGAACGGCACGUGGUUGAACACACUAUAAUUUAUGUUGCAGUUGUAGCAGCUGCUACUAGAGCCAUGAAUUCAAGAGAGGUUGGUGAGGAUGUUUGGGUUCUCAUUGUCCUUGUCCACACUGCCGAUGUGGGGGUGGCACAAUAGAUUGGUUACUUUCCCAUGUUAUUUCCCUUUCCUGGAUGUUUACUUUUCGUUACCACCUGGCUCAUCUACCUUUCCUGAUCAAAAGGCUCUUAUCUCACUCAAUUUGUUUGUUGUAAUAACAAAUCUACCAUCUUCAUUUAUACUUUUGUUGUUUCUUAGUUUGAGUUGUGUUGUUUAACUAUGGAUUAUUUUGGGUGCAGCAAAAACUUUUGGGCAGACACCUUGGUGGUUUUUUCGUACUAUUAAGGAGGCACCAUUGCAACCUGAACAAGGUUUGUGAGCACCUAGCUUAAUCCUUCUGUAUGGAUCCUACAAGCAGAAGUCAUCCACAUCACGUUUUAAUAUUCUGGAGUAUUAUUUCAUCCCUAGCUCCACUUGCUGCUCAAAACCUGUGCAUACCAUAGUUUGACAACCAGCAGACCCCUAGAAUCUGUUGCAUGGAGUGAGCUACCUUUUUUUUGCGGGAUCAUGGAGUGAGCUACCAAAUAGACAUGUAACAAAAACAAUAUUUUCUUUCAUCUUGAUAUAAAUAUAAUUGUGCUAUUGGGUCUUUAGUGGAAUAGAUGUGCAAAGCAACAAUUAUAUACCUUGUCAACGGAAGUACCUUGUUCAAUAUAGAAUACUCUAAAUUUUGAACCGUAUAUGAUCAAUCACGCUUUUCGCUGCAUUUUCCGUUACGAGAUCAACUAUUUAAGUGAUGACUCAUUGAACUCAAAUAUGUGGUCGUGCGAGUGCCGAUGGUGGUGAACAUUAGUCAGAUUGGGGCAGAAAAUGCCGAGCACAAGCAUGCGGCUUGCCCUUGAUUGAGUUGUCAACACUUAUGAUUGGAGUGGUGUCUUCUGGUUGAAUAAUGCCAACAUCGCAUAGUGGGUUGUCUCAAUUUCAUGUGACCUGGAGUUGUGAAGUCUCUGAUUAUAUGUUGAUCUGAUGAGGUAAUAAUUAUAAAAUAUUUUCUUCUCUUUGCUGCGAUAUAGUUAUUCUUACUGUAUAAAAUAUGUUGAAAAGAGAAGAGUGCGUCCUAGGGUGUGUUUUUUGGGUUGGGACUGCGCGUUGAAGAUAAUAUGGUGGGUAGACCGGACAACCAUAUUUCUCCCCCACAUAUUGGAGCAUGUUGGGCGCUGGUUUGAUGUUCGAACACGGCUGAACGUACGAGGAAGAAAUGGGUUUCGACCUUGAAGAGUGGAGACGGCCUUAAUCAUUUGGUUGAUUCAUUAGUAUACAUUGUAGCCCGUAGCAACGCACGGGCGUUCUCCUAGUUUACAUUGGGUAUGACUAUGACUGGAUCUCUUAUACCAUGAAUUACAAUGUCUAGUCAGUCCUUGAUCUUUAAAGGUGCUCUGCAUUUAUGUUUUGCAAUCUCAGAAAGGGCUAGCGAGAUACCAUCCUAUUAUAUCAUAUCAUGAUUGUUUUGAGAAAGUGUUGUCAUCCGAGAUUUAUUAUUAUUGCUCGCUAGUUGAUUAUGCUAUUGAUAUGAGUAGACAUGAGACCUAAGAGUUAUUGUGAAUGUGGUUAGUCAUAAUCUUUGCUGAAAACUUGAAUGCUGGCUUUACAUAUUUGCAACAACAAGAGCAAACAAAGUUUGUAAAAGUUUUUCUUUAUCACUUUCAGUUUAUCAACUGAAUUGCUUGAGGACAAGCAAAGGUUUAAGCUUGGGGGAGUUGAUACGUCUCCGUCGUAUCUACUUUUCCAAACACUUUUGCCCUUGUUUUGGACUCUAACUUGCAUGAUUUGAAUGAAACUAACCCGGACUGACGCUGUUUUCAGCAGACUUUUCAUGGUGUUAUUUAUGUGCAGAAACAAAAGCUCUCGGAAUGACCUGAAACUCCAUGGAACAUAUUUUUGGAAAAUAAUAAAAAUACUAGAAGAAGAAUCCACAUCAGGGGGCCUCCACCUGUCCACGAGGGUGGGGGCGCGCCUGCCCCCCUGGGCGCGCCCCCUGCCUCGUGGGCCCCCUGACGCUCCACCGACCUCAACUCCAACUCCAUAUAUUCGUGUUCGGGGAGAAAAAAAUCAGAGAGAAGGAUUCAUCGUGUUUUACGAUACGGAGCCGCCGCCAAGCCCUAAAACCUCUUGGGAGGGCUGAUCUGGAGUCCAUUCGGGGCUCCGGAGAGGGCAAUCCGUCGCCAUCGUCAUCAUCAACCAUCCUCCAUCACCAAUUUCACGAUGCUCAUCGCCGUGCAUGAGUAAUUCCAUCGUAGGCUUGCUGGACGGUGAUGGGUUGGAUGAGAUUUAUCAUGUAAUCGAGUUAGUUUUGUUAGGGUUUGAUCCCUAGUAUCCACUAUGUUCUGAUAUUGGUGUUGCUAUGACUUUGCUAUGCUUAAUGCUUGUCACUAGGGCCCGAGUGCCAUGAUUUCAGAUCUGAACCUAUUAUGUUUUCAUGGAUAUAUGUGAGUUCUUG
rnacentral:lncRNA from 1 species